CCUCCCGAGUAUCUGGGAUUACAGGCACACAGCACUACCAGUUACAGCUGCAUGCGCAGGUGGAAAUCCAUUUGUGAUUGGGAAAUACUUGCAGUUGCUACAGUUCCAGAUGUUUCUUCUGGGUCUGUCAGGACUGAUGUUUUGCAAGGACAAGAGGAGUUUCUGGCUUUUCUCCAGAGCUUUUCUUAACUGAACGACGAGUGGAAAGCAGUGGCUAUUCGUGUGGGAUUCCACCUGCUGGGUUCGGUGUCAUGCUUGUUUUCUAUAAAUUGAAGACCUGUUCCGGGCCGUCUGUGCUGUCUGCAGACCGUGGGGCUGUUUGCAUUUGCUGCCACCAUGGGGUGAACCUCUGCCUCAGUUUCCCUCCCCUGCCCUUGGUUCAGGAGGCAGAAAAUGUGCCAUCGGCACACCUCUCGCCAGCAAGCCACAAGGCAUUGCUCCUCCUCUACCCAAAGGUCAAUGUCAUUGUUUUGUUUACCAUCACGAAAGUCAUGUGCUCCAAAUUUGCAGUAAUGCGCUCAUAAGGGAAAGAAAAAACAAGGAAACAAAAAAAAAAAAAAAGAAAAGAAAAGAAAAAACAAGGAAACAAACCCCUCAGACAAUUGCACAAUCUAGACAAAGCCAUCACCCUCAGUGUAUUUUCUUCUGCCUUAAAAAACAAAACAAACAAAAACCACAUCCCUGAGAUCACCUGGCCAAGCAGACACUUGCUGGUUGGGCUUUCAGCGCCUGGGCCUCCCGCCGGCCUGGCAGCCGGACACGGACGCGCCACCCAGGCCCAGGCAACCGCGCUGCGCUGGCUCUGGAGCACGAGCCCGGGAUGCAAAGGAAAGGUCCAGGGUGUGUUGUGCUGAGGGGGUCUCAUCCACUCUCCCGGCGCAGCAGGGCAGCUGGGGGGGCCCCAGUGUCGCUGCCAGGGGGGCCUGUGGCCUGGGCUCCUGGUCCCACCUGCCGCUCGGCCCCUCGGCAGCUCCUCCUGGAUCACGCUGAGAUCCCUGGUGCUGCUCUUUGCCUCACAGCUUGUCAGUUCCCCAGGCGAACUUUUACACCAUUCCCAGUAUGUUCUCUCUUCCAGCCUUACUCUCACCUACUUUCCCCACGUGGAUCUGUGGCCCCUGCAGCCCUUGUUCUACAGAAGCCUGAGUCUCGCCGGGGAAUUAGGGGAAAGCCUGCACACGCCAGGUCUCCGUCGCCACGGCCAAGGCUGCGGGAUCAAGUUCUCCGUCUCCCGCGCCAAGGAAAACACAGACAUUGUAGGUUGUGCUCGGAUUAAUCCCAGGUGGGAAGAAGUAGCAUCGGAAAAUACAGGGAACAGACUGGAACGUGGCUCGGGGCAGGCGGAGUCAAUCGGAGAAAAGCAAAACCGUCUCAGAUGUGACUUCGGAAGCUGGAAUGGCCCUUGCCUGCGGACGAAAGUCUGGGUUUGUUAGCGGCGUUUCCAGACAGAGCCCUAAGCGCUGCGUUUCAGCAGGAGGAAACGGUAGGCCCCGUGCCCUCAGAAGCUGUGGACAUCUGACUCUUUGCACACAGCACCCAGCACGACAGGGCGCUGAGGAACAGGGACGCACUGACCUGGCACCAGCCUCCAGGGUCCUCGGGCUCCGGCCCCUUUGUCCCAAGCCCCCUCCAGAGAGUCUGGUUUUGCCAGGCCCUUGGCAGGCCUUUGCCACGCAGAGCCAGUGUCUCGGCUCAGGCUGCCAGAGCGAAAUGCCGUAGACGGGGGGCUUUGGUGACAGACACUUAUUUCCCCACGGCUCUGGGGCUGGGAGUCUGUGCCUGGGUCUGGCGGGGACGGAGUUCUGGUGAGCAGCGGGGACCCAGCAGAGGCUUCAGAAUGACAGUAAACCAGAUAUUCAAGUCAAGUAGUGCAGAACGUGGACCCCAGGGUGCCCCAGCCCAGCCCCUCCUGCCUCAGAUGGAGAAGUCGAGCCAGGAAGGUGAAAUGCGCCUCCCAAGGUCACGCGGUCAGGGAAGUGCCCCUCAAGGUCACGAGGUCAGGGAAGUGCCCCCCGAGGUCAUGCAGUCAGGUAAGUGCCCCCCGAGGCCCACACUCCUUUCACACCCAUGCAGGGGCCUUCAGCCUGUCGGGGCCACACAUGGCUUUUUCAAUUUACAUUAAGUGAAAUUAAACAAAAUUAAAAAUUCAGUUCCUCAACAGUCCUGGCCACAUUUCAAAUGCUCAGUAGCUGCGUGUAGCCAGUGACUGCUGUCCCGGACAUUAUAGGUCUAGAACAUUCCCGUUAUUGCAAAAAGCUGCAUUGCUCUCUGCUGUGGCUGCUUCUGCCUACGACCCCCUAUUCCAGGGCUGCAGGGCAUUGCCUGCACCUGGGAUCUGUGUGAACUCCUGCCCGGGGGCUGGUGCUGCAUCCGGCAUGGAGCUAUGGUUCCUGAGAAGAUUCCAGCAUCCCCCAAGGGCUGAAACGAGGGUCUGGGGCCAUUUCAUGAUCUCUUCCAGUUUCCCCUGGGUCCCUGCGCUGCCCCCGCCCUUGGCGAUGUCCCUCCCCGGCUCCUGCCCCACGGCAGCUGGCCAGAAAUUGCGGGGGCUUGCAGCUGCAGGGAGGCGUGAGCCUGGGCUGUGAGGUGGCACCAUUCUGGCCAGGAAUGUCCUGCCCCUUGGCCUGGGGCCAGCCUGGGAAUCAGGGCAAGGUGAGCAGGGAGUCUGCCAGCCGCUAGAGUCAGGCGUGUCUGGAAUUGCUGGAAUCGUCCAAUGGCAGCCUCGAUCGUCAGAGACACCCCAGAGCUCACCCUUCCAUGGAAAUCUCUGGAAUGCCUGGAUCCACCUUCCUGCACGAGUUGUCCCAACAAUGGCGCUGUUUCCAGGGUUUUGAACAUUGUCUGGGAGAAAUACGAGUCUCCUGCUCGUUUAGCUUGUCAAGUCACUGAUCUGUCUUAUUCUUUUUGCUCAGCAGGUGGCAUUUUUGUUCAGUGGUUCUAUGUGCAGCCCCCUCCCACCCCGUGUUCAUCGACUAUGACAUAUUAAUCAUGCAAAUUAGGAUAUUAUUAAUGAGGAAAGAAUUAAUUCCA